UACGUAGGUGGCAAGCGUUGUCCGGAAUUAUUGGGCGUAAAGCGCGCGCAGGCGGUCCUUUAAGUCUGAUGUGAAAGCCCAGCGGCUCAACCGUGGAGGGUCAUUGGAAACUGGGGGACUUGAGUACAGAAGAGAAGAGUGGAAUUCCACGUGUAGCGGUGAAAUGCGUAGAGAUGUGGAGGAACACCAGUGGCGAAGGCGACUCUUUGGUCUGUAACUGACGCUGGAGGCGCGAAAGCGUGGGGAGCAAACAGG
rnacentral:rRNA from 1 species